UUCAUUGAGAUAUAGGAUAAACAAACUAGCUUUUGUGUAGGGCAGCCGUUGGCGACUGAAAUGUAUUUAUGAGAAAUGGAUAGUUAUGAAAGGUUAGAGAUGCAUGACGUAUGUGGGAUGCUAAUACAAUAUAAUUAUUAUGUAUUUUUUUAAAAAAACUCUCUGUUUUUUCAUUAACAAGCUUUUUUUUUUCUCUUUUUGUUUUUC
rnacentral:lncRNA from 1 species